rnacentral:rRNA from 1 species
UACGUAGGGUGCGAGCGUUAAUCGGAAUUACUGGGCGUAAAGCGUGCGCAGGCGGUUCGUUGUGUCUGAUGUGAAAGCCCCGGGCUCAACCUGGGAAUGGCGAUGGAGACUGCAAGGCUAGAGUUUGGCAGAGGGGGGUAGAAUUCCACGUGUAGCAGUGAAAUGCGUAGAGAUGUGGAGGAACACCGAUGGCGAAGGCAGCCCCCUGGGUCAAAACUGACGCUCAUGCACGAAAGCGUGGGGAGCAAACAGG